CCCAUGGAGCACUAAUGACCUUUGGGUCUGUAGCUUCACUGUCCCCAGACCCGGUGCUUUUCCAUCUGGUUCCUGGUAUUCCCUUAAAUCCCUGCUGGCUGUUUAAUAGCAGUCAGGGAGUUUCAAUGAAGCUAAGGUCACUUUGGCUCACUAAAUGUCACUGCUUCUAAACUGGAACCAGACUGAGUUGAGGGUUGUGUUUCUGCUGGGGGGAGCAAUGGCGAAGUGUCCUCUUGACUCUUCACCAGAUGUUGAUCCUGAGCCCACUGCCUGAGCUCCAGGUUUACUUUGUGUGAGGCUGUGAUCUGACUCCUGAGAACUAAUGUCCCUGAAAGCAGCCAGGGCAAAACAGUAAUUUGAAGAAACCAGAACCAUGACUGAUCUUUUGGUUCAUUGGUGCCCUUCUCUGAUUUUUGGAAAAAAAAGGGCUGGAUGAGAAGAUCUGGUCAAAACAUGAGGAUUAUGACUAAGGACAGACAAUUCAGCAUGAUUGUACCAUAUUUUCAUUUCCCCUGUACAAAGGACAGAGAACUUUGUUCUGUGAUCUGUCUCUGCGCAAAAUACUUGUAGCAUAUAGUAAAUUUGUUGAUUGGCAUACUUGCUCAUAUAUUUUGGUUUUUAUUUGUUUAAUUGGAAAGUCCCUUUACAGCAUUUUGGCAGAGUA